rnacentral:rRNA from 1 species
GACGAACGCUGGCGGCGUGCCUAACACAUGCAAGUGGAGCGACGAACCAGACUUCGGUCUGGGGCAAAGCCGCGAACGGGUGAGUAACACGUGGGUAACCUGCCCUGAUGAUUGGGACAACCCGAGGAAACUCGGGCUAAUACCAAAUGUGCCCCGCAGCCGCAAGGCUGCUGGGGAAAGGAAGCUUCGGCCUCCGCAUCGGGAUGGGCCCGCGGCCCAUUAGCUUGUUGGUGAGGAAUGGCUCACCAAGGCGACGAUGGGUAGCUGGUCUGAGAGGACGAUCAGCCACACUGGGACUGAGACACGGCCCAGACUCCUACGGGAGGCAGCAGUGGGGAAUCUUGCGCAAUGCGCGAAAGCGUGACGCAGCAACGCCGCGUGGGGGAAGACGGCCUCGGUU